CAUAAGUACCAGGGGUGCUGGAAUAAUGGCCGGCUGAGAGUGUGUCCCACAUGACACUGACCCUUAUACCUGAUCUGGGUAAUGCCAGCGUAGGAACGUAACCGAUAUGAUUU
rnacentral:ncRNA from 1 species